UACGAAGGGGGCUAGCGUUGCUCGGAUUGACUGGGCGUAAAGGGCGCGUAGGCGGCAUAACAAGUCAGGGGUGAAAUCCCUGGGCUCAACCCAGGAACUGCCUUUGAAACUGUUAUGCUAGAGGAUGAUAGGGGAGUGCGGAAUUGCUAAUGUAGAGGUGAAAUUCGUAGAUAUUAGCAGGAACACCGGUGGCGAAGGCGGCACUCUGGACCGACACUGACGCUGAGGAGCGAAAGCCAGGGGAGCAAACGGG
rnacentral:rRNA from 1 species